rnacentral:rRNA from 1 species
GAUGAACGCUGGCGGCGUGCCUAAUACAUGCAAGUCGAGCGAACAGAUGAGGAGCUUGCUCCUCUGACGUUAGCGGCGGACGGGUGAGUAACACGUGGAUAACCUACCUAUAAGACUGGGAUAACUUCGGGAAACCGGAGCUAAUACCGGAUAAUAUAUUGAACCGCAUGGUUCAAUAGUGAAAGACGGUUUUGCUGUCACUUAUAGAUGGAUCCGCGCCGCAUUAGCUAGUUGGUAAGGUAACGGCUUACCAAGGCAACGAUGCGUAGCCGACCUGAGAGGGUGAUCGGCCACACUGGAACUGAGACACGGUCCAGACUCCUACGGGAGGCAGCAGUAGGGAAUCUUCCGCAAUGGGCGAAAGCCUGACGGAGCAACGCCGCGUGAGUGAUGAAGGUCUUCGGAUCGUAAAACUCUGUUAUUAGGGAAGAACAAAUGUGUAAGUAACUAUGAACGUCUUGACGGUACCUAAUCAGAAAGCCACGGCUAACUACGUG